GGUGGAUGCGUUUGGGUUGUAGCUAGGCUUUUUCUUUUCUUUCUCUUUUAAAACACAUCUAGACAAGGAAAAAACAAGCCUCGGAUCUGAUUUUUCACUCCUCGUUCUUGUGCUUGGUUCUUACUGUGUUUGUGUAUUUUAAAGGCGAGAAGACGAGGGGAACAAAACCAGCUGGAUCCAUCCAUCACCGUGGGUGGUUUUAAUUUUUCGUUUUUCUCGUUAUUUUUUUUUAAACAACCACUCUUCACAAUGAACAAACUGUAUAUCGGAAACCUCAGCGAGAACGCCGCCCCCUCGGACCUAGAAAGUAUCUUCAAGGACGCCAAGAUCCCGGUGUCGGGACCCUUCCUGGUGAAGACUGGCUACGCGUUCGUGGACUGCCCGGACGAGAGCUGGGCCCUCAAGGCCAUCGAGGCGCUUUCAGGUAAAAUAGAACUGCACGGGAAACCCAUAGAAGUUGAGCACUCGGUCCCAAAAAGGCAAAGGAUUCGGAAACUUCAGAUACGAAAUAUCCCGCCUCAUUUACAGUGGGAGGAAAUGGGGCAGCCUUGAGGUCAGACUUGGAAUUAUGUCCUAGCUCCACUACUUUCUCAUUGUGUGAUCUAGUUAUGGGAUCUCUGAACAGACAGGGACCUACGGAUGCGGUGAUGCCGACUGACGGAGAGGGACCUGCUGAUGCGGUGAUGCCAACUGACGGACGGGACCUGCGGAUGCAGUGAUGCCGACUGACGGAGGGGGACCUGCGGAUGCGGUGAUGCCGACUGAUGGAGGGGGACCUGGCGAUGCGGUGAUGCCGACUGAUGGACGAGACCUGCGGAUGCGGUGAAGCCGAUGAACGGGGACCUGCGGAUGUGGUGAUGCUGACUGACGUACAGGGACUUGGUGAUGCGGUGAUGCCGACUGAUGGGUAGGGACCUGGUGAUGCGUUGAUGCCGACUGACGGACGGGACCUGGUGUUGCAGUGAAGCCGACUGACGGACGGGACAUGCUGAUGUGGUGAAGCUGACUGACAGACGGGACCUGGUAAUGCAGUGAAGCCGACUGACGGACGGGACCUGCUGAUGUGGUGAAGCCGACUGACAGAUGGGGACCUGCGGGUGGGGUGAUGCUGACUGACGGACGGGACCUGGUGAUGCGGUGAUACCAACUGAAGGACGGGACCUGCAGAUGCAGUGAUGCUGACUGACGGAUGGGGACCUACGGAUGCGGUGAUGCUGACUGACGGAGAGGGACUUGCAGAUGUGGUGAUGCCGACUGAUGGACAGGGACCUGCGGAUGUGGGGAUGCCGACUGACGGACAGGGCCUGCUGAUGUCGACUGAUGGACGGGACCUGUGGGUGUGGGGAUGCCGACUGACAGACAGGCAAGAGCAUGUCAUCUCUAUCCCGACUCCUGCUUUCUAGUACCGCUCUGGUGCCUUCUAUUGGCAGAAACUAACAGGUAACAGCUGGCAAAGGAGAGAUUAGAGUCCAGAGUCCUAGACCCGGCAUCACAAAGCUGAGAAGUAUAUUUGGAACUGAGAGCUUAUUUUUCUUCGUUUGCCCUAAUGCCUCAUAUACCCUGUCAGUCUGAUGGAACUGAGAGCUUAAUAUCAAGGCAAACCUCUAACCUUGAAGUAAGACAACCUCCUGCCCCAAUUCUAGGAGUCAUCUUGUAAGCCAGAUUCUGUGAAGUCACUGAAGAGGUGACAGAAUCUGGGACCACAGCAGAAACGCUUGUGACGUUUGGUGUUUUGUAAGCUCUAUAGCUGGAGUGUUACCUUUCUGUUACUGUUAGAUCUUUAUUAUUUAUGUUAUCUGUAUUCCACCAUGUACUACUAAAUGAUCAGAAGGGGAUUCCUCAAGUUCUCUGGACCGCAUAUCUUACAUGCUGUGUCAAGCAGCUUUAAACAGUUUCUAACCACUUAGUUUUAGAUGAUGAUAAAGCACUUAUGGGUGGGCACUGGAUUCUGCUAAAUGUUUAUGGCAGAUGAAGAUACUGGGAGACUUUUUUUUUUUUUUUUGAAACAGAGUCUUGCUCUGUCACCCAGGCUGGAGUGCAGUGGCACAAUCUCGGCUCACUGCAGCCUCUGCCUCCUGGGUUCAAGUGAUUCUCCUGCUUCAGCCUCCUGAGUGGCUGGGACUACAGGUGCGCGCCACCACACCCAGCUAAUUUUUUGUAUUUUUAGUAGAGACGGGGUUUCAUUGUUAGCCGGGAUGGUUUCAAUCUCUUAACCUUGUGAUCUGCCCGCCUUGGCCUCCCACAGUGCUGGGAUUACAGACUAACUUUCUGAAGGACUCACUGCUAGAGAAUUAGGUAGGUUUGUUUUCUCCCAAAUAUAUGGAAUAUAGCAAAGAAAUAAGGGAAAAUGGUUUCUCAUCCAUCCUGUUUUGCCUGAGGUACCUGAAGAGUAGACUCAGUGUGACCAGACUGGAAGGAUUCCUCCACAGAAACAGUCCCAGCAGACAACGAUGUGAAUGUUCAGAUGCCACAAGGGAGGUGUACAUGAGGAGGAGGAUUUGAGAGCCCUUCCUUAAAUGGAUAAGGGUAGGGCUUUGGGAGAAAGCCUUAGUGGAGUACUUGACAUUAAACACCUUUAGAUAUUUUUUCUUUUGCCUACUCAAUUUCUCAAGUGGGCUCCAUUUUCUAAAUUUAAAGAAUGUCUUUUUGUUGUUGUUUUGUUUUUGAGACGGAGUCUUGCUCUUUCAUCGAGGCUGGAGUGCAGUGAUGCAACGACCUCGGCUCACUGCAACCUUCGCCUCCUGGGUCCAAGCAAUUCUCCUGCCUCAGCCUCCUGAGUAGCUGGGAUUACAGGUGCCUGCCACCACACCCUGCUGAGUUUUGUAUUUUUAGUAGAGACAGGGCUACACCAUGUUGACCAGGCUGGUCUCGAACUCCUGACCUCAAGUGAUCUGUCCAUCUCAGC
rnacentral:sRNA from 1 species